rnacentral:rRNA from 1 species
GGGUAUGGAAGACAGACCCAGGGAACUGAAACAUCUAAGUACCUGGAGGAAGAGAAAGCAAAUGCGAUUUCCUGAGUAGCGGCGAGCGAAACGGGAUCUAGCCCAAACCAAGAGGCUUGCCUCUUGGGGUUGUAGGACAUUCUAUACGGAGUUACAAAGGAACGAGGUAGACGAAGCGACCUGGAAAGGUCCGUCGUAGAGGGUAACAACCCCGUAGUCGAAACUUCGUUCUCUCUUGAAUGUAUCCUGAGUACGGCGGAACACGUGAAAUUCCGUCGGAAUCUGGGAGGACCAUCUCCCAAGGCUAAAUACUCCCUAGUGAUCGAUAGUGAACCAGUACCGUGAGGGAAAGGUGAAAAGCACCCCGGAAGGGGAGUGAAAGAGAUCCUGAAACCGUGUGCCUACAAAUAGUCAGAGCCCGUUAAUGGGUGAUGGCGUGCCUUUUGUAGAAUGAACCGGCGAGUUACGAUCCCGUGCAAGGUUAAGUUGAAGAGACGGAGCCGCAGCGAAAGCGAGUCUGAAUAGGGCGUUUAGUACGUGGUCGUAGACCCGAAACCAGGUGAUCUACCCAUGUCCAGGGUGAAGUUCAGGUAACACUGAAUGGAGGCCCGAACCCACGCACGUUGAAAAGUGCGGGGAUGAGGUGUGGGU